CGCUCGGCCGGCCGCUGCCCGGGCAGCGCGGGAGCGCGGGGGCGCUGCGAGCCGGUUUCCAUGUGACUGCCCGGCACAAACACGGCGCUCUCCCCCGCGGGCACUGCCGGGGCGGCCGCCCACGCCGCCCACGCCACGGCGUGGGAGUGGAGGGGAUGGGGUAACAGGUGGCGGAGAGGAUCGGCAAAGCGACAAAUCCCCACCAGCGCUUGCUCCCGGGAUCCUCCUUUGUCUCUUUUCCCACGAACUUGGCAAACCCGGAGCUUGUCGGGCGACUGUGCCCGACACUGAGCCCCGCGAGGAGCAGAGGCUUUUCCUCAGCCUCACACCCUGGCUCUGCCGCUUACGGCCUGUUCUCGGCACCUCUGUUACAGACAUUUUUUUUUUUCUCUCGGAGGCGGCAUAAACAACUUUUAAAAUUAGCAGCGGCUGUGGUCAGGAAGAAGGGCUGGACGGCUGUGGCUGUCCCUGGGUUUUCCUCCUGCGGAGCGAGCCCAGCAUGGGGAAGGCAGCCCCACUCCCCGGGCGGUGCGGGGUGCACAGCGGCAAGUCUUCGUGGGAACGUGGGCGUCGCGUUAAAAUCUGUAUUUUUUGUUUCAGGAAUAUCCCCCCCUCACGCCUUUCCCCCAGAAUAACAACUGCUACACCUGUGUGCGAAAACAAAACCAGGCUGGAGGCAGGGAGUCUGACAGGCACUACUGUCGUGUGUGUACUCAGCCCGGCACGCCUGGCGUUGGGCAGCCUGGCUUCUCCAGGCCAAGCUUUUGUAGAGUCGGGCAGGAUUGAGAAGACGACUGCAGAAGGGAUGCUCCAUGCAUGGUCUAGUGGCACAACAAAACAGAAAACUCCUCUUUGUAAGCUGUGGAUGUGGCACAUUCCCAGUGUUUCCUGUGCAGCACACUGCAUACACAACAUCACGUUCACCACUGCAAACAGCCUGCACCCCACCCAUGCAUCACACUCAGCUCUCCAGCCAGCAGCAUGGUUGGAGCUGGGAGUGAUGGCAGUGAGGAGCACCUGCUGCCUUUGAAACCCUGACUGCCAGGUGGGGCUUCAACUACUAACUCCUGGAGUCAUUCUUGGAGUAAGUCAGUCCCAAAUGUCCUUAUAAAACAAUUUUCCUGAGCCAUGUCUAUAGUGAAUACUCAGUACCAGGGUUUCUAUUUCAAGAAGGCCAUUUCUAUUUUGAUAUUAAAAAAUAUAGUCAUGCUAUAAUCAGAAGAAUUAUAUAUACUCACAGUCCUCUAUGUAAAUAUUUAACACUGUAUGGAAGAAGCUUUAUUAAUAUUUUCUACAACUAUGUUUUAGCUCACAGACUGGGGAAAAUUUUUACUACAUUUUAUUUUAUUUUUUUUUGCAGGAUAGUAAUUUACUGAAUUUAGAAUUUUUCCAUGGUUAAGAGGUAGUAGUAUCUCCAGGUUUCAUUUUCAAGUUUCAGAAUGGAUAAAUCACAACAUAAAUUUAAUAGAAUUUCAUAGUUACACACAUAAUUCUCAUUUCAUACCUGCAUCCUCUGAUGCACCUUUCAGUUAAUCCUGAUUGAUAGCAAGAUAAAUGAAAAGAGGUGUUGGUUCUAUGUUUAUGUCAAAACUAAUACACUACAGAUAAAGACAAAUACACACCGCACUUAAACAAAGAUACAAAGGUAACAGUCUUGGUGCUGCUGCUGUUUCUAUUGAGUUACAUAAUUUGUGAUUGCCUUAGUUCAAUAAUUCAAAGCACACAGAGGUUUAAGAAGAAAGACAAUAUUAUAUCACCAUAUUACUUAAUUCUUUAGGGAAAAAAAAAAAAAAACUUUGACAUAUCAUAUAAUCUCUACAAAUUCUCCAUAAAUUGAACAGAAUUGAAAUAGAAUUGAAAGAGAAACAGAAAUUGAAUAGCUGCAUCCUGUUAAAUAACUACAUACACUCCCUACCUUUUACUCACUCCUGCCCCAAAUACAGACCUCAUGAACCUGCUGAAAUCACGAAAUUGUAUUAAUGUGAGACUCAUAGCCCUGAAAGAGUGGGCCUUAACAGAUGAUCUUGUCAGGAAAACAUCUGAAGAAGGCAGAGGAACUCUGGCAUACAUAAAACCUUAUUCAGACUUACGUUACAAGUACGAGGGGGUAAAUGAAAAAAUAAGUUGCCUCUUUACCUUGAGGAAUUCUCUGCGAGCUUAUCUAGAUUGACAUCAGGUACAAUAAUUUUUUUGGUCACCAUCAUGUCAUGAUAAGAUCAGUGGUGCGAAGGGUGACUUUGCCAUCACCUGACUCUCUGAGGCCAGCAAAGGCUUCUUAACUCUCCCAUUAUAGAUUUCAUGAAGUUUACACCUCAAUACCAAUAGAUGAAAAAUAAUACUUUUAAUUAUAAUUUUAAUAAUAAUAACUAUUUAAUUUUAAUAAUACUUUCUAAUAAUACUUUUAUUUUUGCUAACAUACCUUGAGACCAAUCCUGCUGCUUAUGUCUUUGUCCAGAAGAUUUGGGUUACCUAGGUAUGGCUAAAGAAGAAGAAGGGCUGUUUUCCAAAGAUGUCUGGUGAUACAAAAACAGGAGAUCUUGGACUGAGAUGAAGAACAGAGUUGUUUCACCACAGUGUCACUGAACUGAUGUGGUCAUGCAGUGACAGGACACGGUAGAGCUUCUCUUUUUAUGAAAGAUUGCAGUCACCUUCCUCACUCUGUUCCUGUGAGCAAUACGCAGAAUUAGAAACCGGAAAAACUGUCCUUGAAUUACCAAGGAAGGGAUUGGAGAGUCAAAGAGGGGUGGAGGAAGUAUGGAUUAUCUGGACAAGAUCACUGUAACGAUCUGAAGCUGACUGAUAUUGAGAGGUUUUCUACUAAUUCCACCUGCAUUUACCAAACCUUUGAUAUCACUUGCAAACACAGGCAGUAAUGACUAUCUGUUCUACAGAACUUCUCUCAUUUGUUCCCCUCUUUCUUUUGAAUGUGAAGUUAAUCAUGUAAUUCCACCUCUCAUGAGUUGUACUGGUGCUAUGUGAAUCUUCUCAAGAAUCUGCUGUUUACUGUCCCCUAAAAGACAACAUGAAGAUAAAAAGUCUGCCACAUUCUUUAAACACCCUUUAAAUACCCUGUACCUGACAUGGUGUGGUUGAUGAACCUUUGGAACUUUUUUAUUUCUCUGUCUUCUCUGGCUUUCCCAGCUCUUGUUACACUGCAAUAUAAUUCUAAGGGUGUGGCAUAAAUUAUUACAUAAUUAAAUUAAAUGACAUUCCAUUUUUUUUCAGAUGAGUCAUCUGCAGGUAUCCAGAAAAUGUACAGCAUGAGAGUUACCUCAUGUUCAAGGCAUUAAGAAUACAAAACUAGCUCAUUAGAUGUUCUUAGGAAAAAUAAAUAAAGAGAACCUCUAACUUAAAAAUAGAGA
rnacentral:lncRNA from 1 species